rnacentral:rRNA from 1 species
UGAGAGGGCGACCGGCCACACUGGGACUGAGACACGGCCCAGACUCCUACGGGAGGCAGCAGUGGGGAAUAUUGCACAAUGGGCGAAAGCCUGAUGCAGCGACGCCGCGUGAGGGAUGACGGCCUUCGGGUUGUAAACCUCUUUCAGCAGGGAAGAAGCGAAAGUGACGGUACCUGCAGAAGAAGCGCCGGCUAACUACGUGCCAGCAGCCGCGGUAAUACGUAGGGCGCAAGCGUUGUCCGGAAUUAUUGGGCGUAAAGAGCUCGUAGGCGGCUUGUCACGUCGGGUGUGAAAGCCCGGGGCUUAACCCCGGGUCUGCAUUCGAUACGGGCAGGCUAGAGUGUGGUAGGGGAGAUCGGAAUUCCUGGUGUAGCGGUGAAAUGCGCAGAUAUCAGGAGGAACACCGGUGGCGAAGGCGGAUCUCUGGGCCAUUACUGACGCUGAGGAGCGAAAGCGUGGGGAGCGAACAGGAUUAGAUACCCUGGUAGUCCACGCCGUAAACGGUGGGAACUAGGUGUGGGCGACAUUCCACGUCGUCGGUGCCGCAGCUAACGCAUUAAGUUCCCCGCCUGGGGAGUAC